AGCGGCUCUUGGGAGGCUGCGUCCGCGCGCCGGCGAGGCGAGGCGGCCGGGCCCUGCGCGUCAGGCCUGAGACCUGGGAGGAAGCUGGAGAAAAGAUGCCCUCUGAAUCUUUCUGUUUGGCUGCCCAGGCUCGCCUCGACUCCAAAUGGUUGAAAACAGAUAUACAGCUUGCAUUCACAAGAGAUGGGCUCUGUGGUCUGUGGAAUGAAAUGGUUAAAGAUGGAGAAAUUGUAUACACUGGAACAGAAUCAACCCAGAACGGAUAGCUCCCUCCUGGAAAAGAGAUAAAAGUUUCCCUUUUUGGCUGACUAUUGGAUAUCUGAAUUGGGGAGAUGACAAAAGUCUAAUAAAAAUACAGAGAACAGACUCAGUGAUUUAGGAGGCAGUGAUUACGACUGAACAGUGGCGAUUUCCUAGGAUUCUGGGCAAAAUCCAUUUAUGUACCAAUUUGUUCCCAUUUCAUGGAAUCAACUCAGAAAGUAAAACUCUCCUACUUA
rnacentral:lncRNA from 1 species